AUUGUGUCAAGCGAAGAAGACGCACCUUGUCAAAACGGUUAAGAUUUUUACAAGCCUUUUCCUAGAUAUACCGGUUUAAGCUGUGUAAACGCACAUGCGUGCAAUUUAAAUAUAUCUCGACCAGUAUAAUCCAAGGUUACUUAACAAAACAGGUUACAAAAGUUAAUUUUCGCGUAGUUAACUUGAAUUAAGUUAGUUACUAGCUUAAUUUGACACACCGGAAAUACGUUAGCCGGCUAACGGCCGCGCUGCUUUAAAAUGGAAAUUCUGAAUAGUGGAUUCAGGAGAAAACCGACGUAUCAAAUAAUGAAUCAGAAGAUAUUUGGGCAGCUCUGGCAGAUUUUUGGAAGAGGAAGAACUAGCUAUGUGUGGCUGAACAGACACCACUUGCCAUGGUUAAAGUUAGCUUAACUGACUGUGGAGGAGCAUUAAAUAUGGGAGAAAUACAGUUGGACUUUAUGGAGGAAGACGACUGGGAACUGCGGCCGCUGUUAGCACCACCUGAACCAGGUUGUCCCGUGGAUUUAUUCCCCAUGUAGACCUACAACCGGUAAAUCUGUGUCUUGUUGAAGAUGAAAGGACUGUGGCCUUUUCAGCAGACAGAACAGUGCCUUGUCUCCUCCUCUCCUCCCUGUUUCCUCUGCUCUCCAAAGCCACACCACCACACACAUAGCCUGCACGGGUGGGGUUCUCUGUGACUUUACUACAAUGAAAAUAAAGUCUUGGCUGCUACUAUU